GCAGCAUUUAUCUAACUCUGAGGGCAUAUCUGCAAGGCUCAGAUAUGACAGACCUGGGAAAUCAUGUGAUAUACUUUCUCUAGGGAAACUGAAAAUACAGCUCAGGUUGCAACAGAACAGGGCAUACCAAAAAGGUCCAGGAGGGAGUCGAUUGGUGAUGGGAAAAGUCCUACAGUUAAACCUGCUACCUUACUGCCCCUGCAGUGCCAGGAAUGGUGGUUGUUUUUGCACCUGCUGAUCACCUGCUGAAGAAGAUGAUCAGCAAAUCUGAGGAUUCAACCAAUCAUAUUCCAUAUGAUGUAUUGGACACAUAUGAUCAGGACAGCACCGUUUAGCAGGGAAUCCAGCAAUUGAGGCAGG